rnacentral:rRNA from 1 species
AAAAUUUUAAAAGUCGAACAGACUUAAUUUCCUAGCCCCUACACCAAAAAUUAAUUUUAAUCCAACAUCGAGGUCGCAAACUAGUUUAUCGAUAUGAACUCUCCAAACCAAUUACG